rnacentral:rRNA from 1 species
CACGUGGGGGGCAAGCGUUGUCCGGAAUUAUUGGGCGUAAAGAGCUCGUAGGCGGUUCAGUAAGUCGGGUGUGAAAACUCUGGGCUCAACAGAGACGCCACCCGAUACUGCUGUGACUUGAGUACGGUAGGGGAGUGGGGAAUUCCUGGUGUAGCGGUGAAAUGCGCAGAUAUCAGGAGGAACACCGGUGGCGAAGGCGGGUCUCUGGGCCGAUACUGACGCUGAGGAGCGAAAGCGUGGGGAGCGAACAGG